rnacentral:lncRNA from 1 species
GAUUGCUGGCUAUGUAUUCUGCUCCUAUAUUGUGCCUGUGGAAGAAUUUACGGUGGGGCUGGCAGGGUUUGAAGGCUUCUGUUGCAGAUUUUCAGUGCCAUAAUUUUUGGAUUGGAGGAGACAAAGCAGAUGUUAUUUCAUGGAUCCCUGCAACUUAGGACAAAAGAGUUUCGAUUCCUUACAUAUGGCCUCUCUCAUCCUCCAUUCUAGACUUCAAGGCUUCACACGCACA